rnacentral:rRNA from 1 species
AUUGAACGCUGGCGGCAGGCCUAACACAUGCAAGUCGAACGGCAGCACAGAAGAGCUUGCUCUUUGGGUGGCGAGUGGCGGACGGGUGAGUAAUGUCUGGGAAACUGCCCGAUGGAGGGGGAUAACUACUGGAAACGGUAGCUAAUACCGCAUAACGUCGCAAGACCAAAGUGGGGGACCCUCGGGCCUCACACCAUCGGAUGUGCCCAGAUGGGAUUAGCUAGUAGGUGGGGUAAUGGCUCACCUAGGCGACGAUCCCUAGCUGGUCUGAGAGGAUGAGCCGCCACACUUGAACAGAGACACGGGCCAGACUACUACGGGAGGCAGCAGUGGGGAAUAUUGCACAAUGGGCGCAAGCCUGAUGCAGCCAUGCCGCGUGUAUGAAGAAGGCCUUCGGGUUGUAAAGUACUUUCAGCGGGGAGGAAGGCGGUGAGGUUAAUAACCUCGCCGAUUGACGUUACCCGCAGAAGAAGCACCGGCUAACUCCGUGCCAGCAGCCGCCGUAA